CUCCACUCUCCUUGAAUGCUGACAUGGGAAUGUUGCUGCAAGUUAAGAUCAAUUAGUAAGGGCUUGAAAUGAAGAACUUUCACUAGAUAGCAGUUACUCGUGUGAAAAGGAUGAAAAUCUAUCGGAAACACAACGCGAACUUCUGGUUCUGAUUGAUGAAAUGGCAGCAGCUGUAAAUGCCGUCCUUGAUAGCCCUGAAUAUAAGAACAAAGCUCAAGCAGUGACUCAACUGUUACAAGAUAUGGUUUGUGCCGGCAAAAUCAGCCCCAGCGUGGCUGCCCCCAUGGCACCGAUAUGUCAGCACAUGAUAUAUAAUAUACAGCAAGGAGACUUUACAAAGGAGGACAUCAUGGAAUUUCUAGACGAUUAUGGCCUCCAGGAUAUAGAGUCAUUACUAGAGGCGCGAGAAUAAACUUGAAGUUUUAUCCAGGAGAUAAAGACACAAAUCCACAGCCCACAAAUGGCAAAAGCUUUACUUCUUGAGUAUGUGUUGAGUUCCUUCAUAGUCUUGAAUCUGUAGUGAAGCAACGACCAACUGCUCUCCCAUUCCACGUGCAAUUUGCUUAUGUCUGCACAGUGUUGAAAAUAAAACUGAAUUUCUUGUGUUGAAAAAAGUUAUUUUCAUUUUAUUAAAUCAUGUUACCCAUCU